rfam:Schistosoma mansoni strain Puerto Rico chromosome W, complete genome
AUCCAGCUGACGAGUCCCAAAUAAGGUGAAACGCGCGUCAAAUUGGAU